AGUCAAUAUAAGAGUGGAAGUGGUGCUUCAACUCAUAAACCCUUCACAUUUUAUACGCAAUUAUCUUUUCUUGACAAUUAUAUCAAGAGACGAAGAACAUGCAGUAAUAUAAAAGCAAAUAAAACUUCAACAUCUACAUCAUCUUUAGAACUAUCACCAGAAAUUCCACAAUCUAGUUCGAAUGAAGUAUUUGAUACCAAAGAAAAAUCAAGUCAUUCUAUGCACGAAACAGAAGAUAAUAAUUUUAAUGGUAAAAAUAAAGAAAAUAUUUUAGAAGAUACUCUUGAAGCACAUGUAACACAUAAACGCAACAUUGACAAAGAUUCACAAUUAUAUGUAUUACAUACAAAACCUAAAUCUAAAAAAAGUAAAGUCGAUGAAACAAAGGAAUUAGAAAAUAUAUUUACAUCGGUUAGCCAGAAAAUCAUCAAUGUUUUAGAUAACAAACGUGAAAACAAUAAUGAAGAUGAAGCAUUUACACAAUUUAUUGUUGCUCACUUGACAAAUCUUCCACAAUCUGAGAAAAAUAUAAGAAAGAAAAUGAUA